GAUGAACGCUAGCUACAGGCUUAACACAUGCAAGUCGAGGGGCAUCAGGAAGGAAGCUUGCUUUCUUCGCUGGCGACCGGCGCACGGGUGAGUAACACGUAUCCAACCUGCCGAUGACUCGGGGAUAGCCUUUCGAAAGAAAGAUUAAUACCCGAUGGCAUAGUUCUUCCGCAUGGUAGAACUAUUAAAGAAUUUCGGUCAUCGAUGGGGAUGCGUUCCAUUAGCUUGUUGGCGGGGUAACGGCCCACCAAGGCAUCGAUGGAUAGGGGUUCUGAGAGGAAGGUCCCCCACAUUGGAACUGAGACACGGACCAG
rnacentral:rRNA from 1 species